rnacentral:lncRNA from 1 species
AGGACGUUGUUUUUCUGUUCCCUAGCUCUGAGAAGAAAGGACGUUGUUUCUCUGUUCCCUAGCUCUGAGAAGAAAGGACGUUGUUUUUCUGUUCCCUAGCUCAGAGGAAAGGACGUUGUUUUUCUGUUCCCUAGCUCAGAGGAAAGGACGUUGUUUUUCUGUUCCCUAGCUCUGAGAAGAAAGGACGUUGUUUUUCUGUUCCCUAGCUCUGAGAAGAAAGGACGUUGUUUUUCUGUUCCCUAGCUCUGAGAAGAAAGGACGUUGUUUUUCUGUUCCCUAGCUCUGAGAAGA